rnacentral:rRNA from 1 species
UACGUAGGGUGCAAGCGUUGUCCGGAAUUAUUGGGCGUAAAGAGCUUGUAGGCGGUUUGUCGCGUCUGCUGUGAAAUUUCGGGGCUCAACCCCGAACUUGCAGUGGGUACGGGCAGACUAGAGUGUGGUAGGGGAGACUGGAAUUCCUGGUGUAGCGGUGGAAUGCGCAGAUAUCAGGAGGAACACCGGUGGCGAAGGCGGAUCUCUGGGCCUUACCUGACGCUGAGGCGCGAAAGCUAGGGGAGCAAACAGG